AGCUCAACUGGUAGAGCAUGGCAUUAACAUUGCCGGGGUUUUGGGGUUCGAGUCGCAAGUUCAUUCGUUUCGUUUUUCUGUCUCUCUAAAACAAACCUCCACCG